GACGAACGCUGGCGGCGUGCUUAACACAUGCAAGUCGAACGGAAAGGCCCUGCUUUUGUGGGGUGCUCGAGUGGCGAACGGGUGAGUAACACGUGAGUAACCUGCCCUUGACUUUGGGAUAACUUCAGGAAACUGGGGCUAAUACCGGAUAGGAGCUCCUGCUGCAUGGUGGGGGUUGGAAAGUUUCGGCGGUUGGGGAUGGACUCGCGGCUUAUCAGCUUGUUGGUGGGGUAGUGGCUUACCAAGGCUUUGACGGGUAGCCGGCCUGAGAGGGUGACCGGCCACAUUGGGCCUGAGAUACGGCGCAGAAUCCUACGGGAGGCAGCAGUGGGGAAUAUUGCACAAUGGGCGGAAGCCUGAUGCAGCAACGCCGCGUGCGGGAUGACGGCCUUCGGGUUGUAAACCGCUUUCGCCUGUGACGAAGCGUGAGUGACGGUAAUGGGUAAAGAAGCACCGGCUAACUACGUG
rnacentral:rRNA from 1 species